rfam:Apaloderma vittatum contig89295, whole genome shotgun sequence.
AGCCAGUUAGCUCAGUCGGUUUGAGUGUGGUGCUGAUAACACCAAGGUUGCGGGUUCGAUGCCCAUUCAGUCCC